GAUGAACGCUAGCGGCAGGCUUAACACAUGCAAGUCGAGGGGUAGAGGAAGCUUGCUUCCUUGAGACCGGCGCACGGGUGCGUAACGCGUAUACAAUCUACCUUUUGCAGAGGGAUAGCCCCAGAGAAAUUUGGAUUAAUACCUCAUAGUAUGUGAGGAUGGCAUCAUUUUCACAUUAAAGUCACAACGGCAAAAGAUGAGCAUGCGUCCCAUUAGCUAGUUGGUAAGGUAACGGCUUACCAAGGCUACGAUGGGUAGGGGUCCUGAGAGGGAGAUCCCCCACACUGGUACUGAGACACGGACCAGACUCCUACGGGAGGCAGCAGUGAGGAAUAUUGGACAAUGGGCGAAAGCCUGAUCCAGCAAUGCCGCGUGAGUGAUGAAGGCCU
rnacentral:rRNA from 1 species